UGAUCUUCAUAGAUUUCUGGGAUUCCUUACUAGUUCUGUUGUCUUAUCAUUGUUUUUAUAUGGCGUUAAGUUUGUUUCUGUCAGGAAGGAAGGAAAAAGGAAGUGUUUUAUCUGAAUUGGAGUAAGUAGUUUACAGGAAUCAUUUGCUAUCUAGUACAGUAUGUGCUGUGAAGUAACCUUGGCACAAAUUGGAAUGAAAAAAUUGAUUAGUAGCAAUAGCCAAUUGCUAUGCAGUUGAGGUGGGAAAUCUCUGUGAUGGAUGGAUGGAGUGUUUGUUGUUCAAGUAACAAAAUCACUUUGAGAAGUAUUAAGAACAAGAAAGAGCUAAAUAUAGUGCUGGCACUAUUUACUCUGAUCAUGCAUUAUAUUCUCAGAGAAAAAAGAAUUUACGAAUUGCAUUGAAUGGCAAUGCCAGGGUUUCCAAAGUGGAACAGCCACGAUGGGUAAGUCCUAUUUCCCAAAAGCAUUUUAUCUAAGUUACAGAUGUACCCACCCGGUUUAUUUCUAUUUGGAAGGAUGCUUGGAUAUGUAUGUUUGUGUGUCUUGAAGAAGACAGAUAAGCAGUGAAUAUAACUUUCAACUACUUCUCUUGAAUAUGAAUGAGACCACUGUCUAAAAUAAAGGACCAUCAAUAGUCAAAAAGGGAUAUAUCUCUACUUCCUGUUUGUGAGCACGUUGGAAGCAGCUGGUUGGCUAUGAAAAUCUAACAUUAUUACGGAUAAAAUUGCCUUAGGAUGGACUUUUGUCUGAUAUUGUAGGGAUAUUCUUAUGUUCAGUUUUGUUUAGAUUUAUUAUUUAGAUUUAUGAACGUGAAACAGGAGCAAAAGUGUCCGCAAUAAAAUACAGUGGCAUUGUAAUAUACCUUCAACUUAUAUACUUACAUUCUGAUACCUGGUGUAAGUUCAACAUUUGUGUGAGAUCAUCAUAUCACAAUUUAUUAAAGUUGUAUGCUGCAUCCUGCAGACCCUGAAAAAGUUUCUUCAUUCUGCAUUUAUGAGAUUCUUACACAGGCAUCUUUACAUAGUACACGAUUAAGGGUAUGAAGUAAUAUAAGGGCUGUUACUCAAAAAAGAGUCUUCUAAGAGACAGGACGUGAUUCCAUUUACAAGCCAUGAACCCUUUGGAGGAAGCCCAGAUAAGAAUGUAAUGGCUUUGUGUGAUAUGUAUUGUAAAUGACAAUGGACACAUCCUGCCCAGAGUAAUUGAUUUUGCAAGAAUUGUUUCUGGUCUGUUAUCUCAGCAUUGUUCUUUUGGAUUUUCAAGCAUGUGCAUGUCUUUUAAAUGCUGCUUCAUAAUUAAUGUUAAAACGUUCCACUUUCCUGUUUCCAAUUACUGUUUCCUUUUUAGUUUAGAAGAUAUUUCUUUACCUCAUACAAUGAAUCAGUUUUAGGGUUCU